CACGUGUUUUCUCCUGCCUGGAUCUGUCACAAUUUUAACCUGUUUACUUACAUUUUACCAUCAUCAUCAUCAUCAUUAAUAUCAUCUUAUCCAACUCUCUGCAGUGUUCUGUACAGUUUUUUCCAUUCCAUGGCAGAAGAUAGAAAGCAUAAUUUAAAGUGAAACAUCACACAGCUUCGAAACGACUUGAAGAUGGGUCGCCAGAGUCCAGUGAAGUCUAACACGAGUCGAGGAGAAAAUCCUGAAGGUCCUGAAGAUACCAAAGAUUCAGAAGAUUUAGAAGAUCCUAGGGAUUCAGAAGGUUCUGAAUAUUCACAAGUUCCUGAAAAUUUAGAAAGCCCUAAAGAUUCAGAAGGUCCGGAAGAUCCAAUUGAAGAACCUCAGACAAACAGAAGAAAUUCGCUGGUUAUUCCUCCUGAUUUCUCAUUAGAAAAUCUACUCUCUAGCAGUGUAGGGGAGAGCGAGAACAGAACAGAACCAUAAAUAUACACACAAAUUGCUUGAUGGUUUACUAAAUUUGUUUACUAAAAUUAAAUAUUUCACAGCAUCUGAACAACAUUUCAAUGGCAGCUUCGAUAAACACUAAACCUUUAAGAUCUUCAGAGGAGAAAUUAUACCCAGAGGUGACCAUCUGCUGUUCCUCUGUAUUUCUGUAUGUGUGUGAAUAUGAACAUACAUACAUACAUAUUUAUUUUUUUAUUUUUUUAUUCACGGUCGGUACAUAUCCUCAGACCU